rnacentral:lncRNA from 10 species
GUAUAGAAGAACAAUGAAUACUAGUCAUAAAAUGCUAAUAAGUAACAUAUAACUUUAACUAAAAGUAUGUCAAAUGCCUUUCAGGAUAUGUAUGUAGCACUGAAUUGAUAUAGGAAGACCAUACAUGUCCACCAUCAGGAUAUGUGAACAAAAUCAUUGUUUAUUUGUAUCUAUGUGUGUAUGCACGUAUGUAUAAAUGUGUGUGUCUUAUUUGCUUCAUUGUAACUUUUACCCAUAGUCCAACUUACUUGUUAUGGUCAUUAUUUCUACUACAUCCUCAGCAUUAAUUGAUACUUCAGGUGGAGGAUGAGUACUUACUUCUCUGAUGCAGUUAUUGGAAUAAAUCGUACAAGCAAGGGUAGAGAAUGUGUGAAGGGAUUUGGAAUUGCAAGGCCUGUGUUUGAAUCCUCACCCUGCCACUUCGUAGAUAUAUGACUUUGGACAAGGCAGUGAUCUGUUUCCUCAUCUGUAAAAUGGGGGCUGUUAAUCCCAACUUCAUUAAAGGGUUAUUGUGAGGAUAGAAUGAACUAUCUUAAAUGGCUCUACUUUGUAAAAACCAUUAAGCCCAUUAUAGAGUUUUAUGCUGCUAUUCUCCAAGCCAAGUAGGAAAAAUGUUGUAAUAGCAUAAUAGCAAUCCCCUUUCUGUCUUUUUCCUUCCAGUUUUCAUGGAGUGAUAAUGAAAGGAGCAGCAGCCGCAUUAAUAUCCCAGAGAGAGCAAGUGGACCAGAAGGCAACUUAAACCAGAUUGUUACUGAACCCGAUGCAAACUUUCCCCAGUUCUUGCAUGAGGGAUUGUCUAAACCUGUUUAUGUCAUAAACUGGUUUAUGUCCUUUGGUCCUGAAAUAAAACUCAAUACUUCACAGCAGGGAAGGAACCAAGCUGUUUAAAACUACUUAUCUCCGCUAUGAAGGAGAAGUAUUUUCAAGGAAUAUCAGAAGAAAGUAGAAAGUGAGAGGAGGUUCCAGCUGGGCUUCCUGGGUCAAGUAGGGGCUCAGAAAGCUGUGAAACUCACUCAUUUCCUGCAUGCGGACUUACUUUGGUCCUGGAUGAAUAAUAUUGAAGAUAUGUGCUUAAAACAUUCCUAACAUCAGAAUUUGCGCCUGUGUUUUCUUCCCCAAGAAAGCUAUAAACAGCGAAAAUUUUGUUGUAAGCUUCCCUGUGUCCUCUCUCCCUCUCUCCCUUCCCCCUCCCCUGAAACUAAAAGGAAUGUUAAAAGCCCACUUUUCUGUGACCAGCAGACCUUAUCUAUGGUCCCAAUUCCAAUUCCUUGUAAACACAAUUUGUAAAAUCCCGUGAGAUCCUGUCUCCUUUGCCAUCCCGCUGCAAGGUUAUAAGUAGAGAAAACUUAAGUUACAAUUCCAGUUUUCCUCAAGAUCUGAGACAUGUUAAUUGUCUUUGUUUCUCCCUCUGGUAACAUCUUCCCACCACACAUAUUUCCUGCCUUAGAGAGUUUAAAAGGUGAUAAAAAAAUCUAACACUGGCUACCCCGCUCGGGACCCCUUCCACGCUGUGAAAGCUUUGUACUGUCACUCUGCUUAAUAAAGCCUACAGCUUUUUUACUC